rnacentral:rRNA from 1 species
UCUCUAAGCAAUGGAUGUCUUGGCUCCUCACACGAUGAAGAACGUGGCAUAAUGUGUUAAGUAACCGGAGUUGCAAACAUCAUGACAGGUUAAUCUUUGAAUGCAAAUUGCGCUAAACUCGACUUCGGUCGAGAAGCAUGGGUGUGACAGUACUACA